CCCUUAGAUGUUCUGGGCCGCACGCGCGCUACACUGAUGCAUUCAACGAGCCUAUCCUUGACCGACAGGUCCGGGUAAUCUUUGAAUCUGCAUCGUGACGGGGAUAGAUUAUUGCAAUUAUUAAUCUUCAACGAGGAAUGCCUCGUAGGCGCAAGUCAUCAGCUUGCGUCGAUUACGUCCCUGCCCUUUGUACACACCGCCCGUCGCUCCUACCGAUUGGGUGUGCUGGUGAAAUGUUCGGAUCGGCCGUUUGUCGCGGUUUCCGCGUCAUGUGGCUGAGAAGUUCAUUAAACCCUCCCACCUAGAGGAAGGAGAAGUCGUAACA
rnacentral:rRNA from 1 species